UCAAAAAUUUAGACAAGAGAAGAGAACUUGAGAGAGGGGCUCCCACCACCACUACCGGUGGCCACGAUCCCAUCACCACUGGCGAUCACGAUCCACUUCUCACCACCACCGGCGAGCACCACAACCCAACCCCAGCACUCCCCCACCGCCGGCGACCAUCACCUCCACCGGCUUCUGGGCACUCCAACCACUGUUACCCCCAACACGAAGUUCACAACAGAGAACCAGGAGAUAUCGAGGAUGUUAUAAGAGAAAAAGUUCUUUCCGGAUCAACCGGAAAAGGGGCUGUCCGGACAGCCCCUGUGUGGGUCCCCUUUGCAUGUUUUUUUGUAAAAUCCGAACCAUGCACCUUGUAGGGCCCGCAAAAUAAUGUAUCUAUGCAAAAAAUCAAAUUGUCCAGACAUCAAUAGGUAUGUCAAAAGUUGAGUUUAUACACGGAAAAAUGGACGACCGUGAUCUGUCAACUGUUUUUAAAGUUAAACUGUUCACGGUCGUCCAUUUUUCCGUGUAAUAACUCAACUUUUGACAUACCUAUCGAUUCCGGACAAGCUAAUUUUAGGCGCAGAUACAUUAUUUUGCGGGCCCUACAAGCUGCACGAUUCGGAUUUUCCAAAAAAUUGCGCAAAGAAGGCCCACACAGGGGCUGUCCGGACAGCCCCUUUGUCCGGUUGAUCCGGGGGGAACUUAUUCUUCUCAUGUUAUAAACAAAACUUUUUUGGCUACGGAAGAGCAGUUCCUUUCUGUAGUAAAGAAGCAAUGGCUGAGUACACCUGAAGAGAUUGAAGCUAUUCAACUGGUGGACUGUUGUACAUUACAAAUGCGGAGAUUCUCGUGCGGUGUUGGGGAGAUUCGAAAAGGCAGUGAAAGAGAUUGAAACUAUUCAAGUGAAUCAAAGAUCAAGAAAAAUGACUAAUUUGUUGUAAUUUGUUGGAAUAUCAGGUUGUAGUAUCAAGUUUUAGUUUACUGAAACCUAACUUUGAUUGUAGCCUAUUUGUAUGACUAUAUGGUUUUAUGGUUUUUGUUGUGAAUAGAUAAUUUGGCAAUAAAUUUUGGUUAUGAA